UACGUAGGGCGCAAGCGUUGUCCGGAAUUAUUGGGCGUAAAGGGCUCGUAGGCGGUUUGUCGCGUCUGCUGUGAAAUCCCGAGGCUCAACCUCGGGCUUGCAGUGGGUACGGGCAGACUAGAGUGCGGUAGGGGAGACUGGAAUUCCUGGUGUAGCGGUGGAAUGCGCAGAUAUCAGGAGGAACACCGAUGGCGAAGGCAGGUCUCUGGGCCGCAACUGACGCUGAGGAGCGAAAGCAUGGGGAGCGAACAGG
rnacentral:rRNA from 1 species